UGUAGGUAUCUACCCUUUGGCCUGGAAUAACACGAGGAAACUUGUGCUAAUACCGGAUAAGUCUUUACAGAGAAAGCUUUACGCACCAUUGGAUGAGCCUGCACUUGAUUAGUUUGUUGGUGGGGUAAUGGCCUACCAAGACUGUGAUCAAUAGCUGAUUUGAGAGGAUGAUCAGCCACAUUGGGACUGAGACACGGCCCAAACUCCUACGGGAGGCAGCAGUGGGGAAUCUUGCACAAUGGAGGAAACUCUGAUGCAGCGAUGCCGCGUGAGUGAAGAAGGCCUUUGGGUUGUAAAGCUCUUUCGUCGGGG
rnacentral:rRNA from 1 species